rnacentral:rRNA from 1 species
UACGUAGGGUGCGAGCGUUGUCCGGAGUUACUGGGCGUAAAGAGCUCGUAGGCGGUGUGUCGCGUCGGCCGUGAAAUCCUGCUGCUUAACGGUGGGCUUGCGGUCGAUACGGGCAGACUAGAGUUCGGUAGGGGAGACUGGAAUUCCUGGUGUAGCGGUGAAAUGCGCAGAUAUCAGGAGGAACACCGGUGGCGAAGGCGGGUCUCUGGGCCGACACUGACACUGAGAGACGAAAGCUAGGGGAGCGAAUGGG